CAGAGAAAGACACAUGGCCCUAAAAUAACCUCAUUCUGCAUGUGGUCCAAGAGGCGCACAUGCUCCUGAGUCAUCCCACAGCAGCCAUCCUAGUGGCUUUUUAGAUGUUCUCGUGCCUACAAUGAAGAUUAAUGCAAGUGAUGGAAGAAAAAUGCAGUAUAACUUGAUUUGAUGGCAAAAGACCCAGUGAGUUGCCUAAGUGUCUUCAUGCUUGCGAUGGAGAUAAACACUCAAACACUGUAAACUAUUUUUCUGUUGAGACUCUGUUGCACAGAAUUAAGUUCAUAAA